GACGAACGCUGGCGGCAUGCCUAACACAUGCGAGUCGAACGAGACCUUCGGGUCUAGUGGCGCACGGGUGCGUAACGCGUGGGAACCUGCCCUUAGGUUCGGAAUAACUCCCCGAAAGGGGUGCUAAUACCGGAUAAUGUCUUCGGACCAAAGAUUUAUCGCCUUUGGAUGGGCCCGCGUUGGAUUAGCUAGUUGGUAGGGUAAAAGCCUACCAAGGCGACGAUCCAUAGCUGGUCUGAGAGGAUGAUCAGCCACACUGGGACUGAGACACGGCCCAGACUCCUACGGGAGGCAGCAGUGGGGAAUAUUGGACAAUGGGCGAAAGCCUGAUCCAGCAAUGCCGCGUGAGUGAUGAAGGCCUUAGGGUCGUAAAGCUCUUUUACCCGGGAUGAUAAUGACAGUACCGGGAGAAUAAGCGCCGGCUAACUCCGUG
rnacentral:rRNA from 1 species